rnacentral:rRNA from 1 species
CGGCGGACGGGUGAGUAACACGUGGGUAACCUACCUAUAAGACUGGGAUAACUUCGGGAAACCGGAGCUAAUACCGGAUAAUAUAUUGAACCGCAUGGUUCAAUAGUGAAAGACGGUUUUGCUGUCACUUAUAGAUGGAUCCGCGCCGCAUUAGCUAGUUGGUAAGGUAACAGCUUACCAAGGCAACGAUGCGUAGCCGACCUGAGAGGGUGAUCGGCCACACUGGAACUGAGACACGGUCCAG